rnacentral:rRNA from 1 species
UACGUAGGAGGCAAGCAUUAUCCGGAUUCAUUGGGCGUAAAGUGUGCGUAGGCGUUCCAUAAAGUCUUCACUUAAAGACCGGGGCUUACCCCCGGGAGUGGUGGGGAUACUCAUGGAAUUGAGGAUUGGCAAGGAUGCUGGAACAGCUGGUGUAGCAGUGAAAUGCGUUGAUAUCAGUUGGAACACCAAGGGCGAAGGCAAGCAUCUGUGCUCUUCCUGACGCUGAGGCACGAAAGCUAGGGUAGCGAAACAG